rnacentral:rRNA from 1 species
GAUGAACGCUGGCGGCGUGCCUAAUACAUGCAAGUCGAGCGAACGGACGAGAAGCUUGCUUCUCUGAUGUUAGCGGCGGACGGGUGAGUAACACGUGGAUAACCUACCUAUAAGACUGGGAUAACUUCGGGAAACCGGAGCUAAUACCGGAUGAUAUUUUGAACCGCAUGGUUCAAAAGUGAAAGACGGUCUUGCUGUCACUUAUAGAUGGAUCCGCGCUGCAUUAGCUAGUUGGUAAGGUAACGGCUUACCAAGGCAACGAUGCAUAGCCGACCUGAGAGGGUGAUCGGCCACACUGGAACUGAGACACGGUCCAGACUCCUACGGGAGGCAGCAGUAGGGAAUCUUCCGCAAUGGGCGAAAGCCUGACGGAGCAACGCCGCGUGAGUGAUGAAGGUCUUGGGAUCGUAAAACUCUGUUAUUAGGGAAGAACAUAUGUGUAAGUAACUGUGCACAUCUUGACGGUACCUAAUCAGAAAGCCACGGCUAACUACGUG